ACAAUAAAAAAAUCGGCACGUAACUUGUUUACGAAAUAAUUUACAUUCCAUUGUAUGCAUGAGUUAAAAUCCAACAAACAUGGGUUUGUGUGGUUCUGUUUUGGUGUGCUAUUAUUUUUUUAACAUCGCUAAACAAAAACAUCAAAUGGGCUGUCAAUCUGCAACUUUAAAAUGUAUUUUUUUAAUAACCUUCAUAUGGAAUCACACGUUUCAAUUAAUUAAGAUUUUAGUUUCCUGUCCUUUACAUUAGCAAAAGUUAAUAAACAAUAUGAGAAAUUAAAUUCUAAAACAAAAAAUAAAUAAAAAUUCACAAAACAUUCACGUUACGUAACAUGAGUAUUAUUACAGAUUUCUUAUUAACAAACUAAUUCAAAUCUGAAAUGUGAAUGCACGUGCAUGGUUCAUUGAAUCGCUUAAUAAGUUGUGGGCAGGGCGAACAAAUCUCUGUGUUGUAUAAGUACACUACGGAACCCGUAGUCAGCUCUCGAUUCAACAUGCUCCCAGUCAAACAAUCCCGGUCGUAUCUAGUGCUCUGUGCUCUUGUGUUGAUAUCAGUGCGUAACGGACUCGGUUGUCGGGAUUCCGUGUUUAUGAACUCUUUGAGCAUUAUAUCGGAAUGUCGAAAUCAGAUUGGAGAUAUGUUAUUACUAAUGUGCCAAAUUCCCAGCUUCAUCGAUCUCUUUGACAGCGAUGCUGUUUCCGACACUCAGCCUGCUCAACAUUUAACAAUGGACGAUUUAGUGUGCGAAUGUUGCUUUAAAUCAUGUUUUCCCGGUGAUUUUAAAAAAUACUGUCAUUUAACCACAAAGUGAUGCACACAUCUGCCACAUAAGGCGUCCACACACACAAACUGUUCUCUAUGCCAGAUUAUUAUUGUUCUCUUUAUGACGGUGAUUGUUGAUACGUUGUGCAUGUUAAGUUUGACACAUAAAAUGCGUUUUUUAAGUUUA